rnacentral:tRNA from 1 species
GCCCAAGUGGUGGAAUUGGUAGACACGCUAUCUUGAGGGGGUAGUGGCGUAAGCCGUGCCGGUUCAAGUCCGGCCUUGGGCA